rnacentral:rRNA from 1 species
GGGUGACUAGUAUAGGGCGAUUGGGCCCGACGUCGCAUGCUCCCGGCCGCCAUGGCCGCGGGAUUACGGUUACCUUGUUACGACUUCACCCCAAUUAUCUGUCCCACCUUAGGCGGCUGGCUCCCGAAGGUUACCUCACCGACUUUGGGUGUUACAAACUCUCGUGGUGUGACGGGCGGUGUGUACAAGGCCCGGGAACGUAUUCACCGCGGCGUUCUGAUCCGCGAUUACUAGCGAUUCCGGCUUCAUGUAGGCGAAUUGCAGCCUACAAUCCGAACUGAGAAUGGCUUUAAGAGAUUAGCUUAACCUCGCGGUUUUGCGACUCGUUGUACCAUCCAUUGUAGCACGUGUGUAGCCCAGGUCAUAAGGGGCAUGAUGAUUUGACGUCAUCCCCACCUUCCUCCGGUCUAUCACCGGCAGUCUCACCAGAGUCCCCAACUGAAUGCUGGCAACUAAUUAUGGGGGUUGCGCUCGUUGCGGGACUUAACCCAACAUCUCACGACACGAGCUGACGACAACCAUGCACCACCUGUAACCGAGUGUCCAAAGAGUUCUGUAUCUCUACAGCGUUCUCGGCUAUGUCAAGCCUUGGUAAGGUUCUUCGCGUUGCAUCGAAUUAAUCCGCAUGCUCCGCCGCUUGUGCGGGCCCCCGUCAAUUCCUUUGAGUUUUAGCCUUGCGGCCGUACUCCCCAGGCGGGGAACUUAAUGCGUUAGCUACGACACAGAACCCGUGGAACAGGCCCUACAUCUAGUUCCCAACGUUUACGGCAUGGACUACCAGGGUAUCUAAUCCUGUUCGCUCCCCAUGCUUUCGCUCCUCAGCGUCAGUAGCGGCCCAGAGAUCUGCCUUCGCCAUCGGUGUUCCUCCUGAUAUCUGCGCAUUCCACCGCUACACCAGGAAUUCCAAUCUCCCCUACCGCACUCUAGCUUGCCCGUACCCACUGCAGGCCCGGGGUUGAGCCCCGGGAUUUCACAGCAGACGCGACAGCCGCCUACGAGCUCUUUACGCCCAAUAAUUCCGGACACGCUUGCACCCUACGUAUUACCGCGCUGCUGGCACGUAGUAGCCGGUGCUUUUUCUGCAGUACGUCACUUUCGCUUCUUCCCUACUAAAAGAGGUUUACAACCCGAAGGCCGUCAUCCCUCCAGGCGGGCGUUGCUGC